rnacentral:snoRNA from 1 species
AUUGAGGUCUAUCCCGAUGGAACCUUGCGGUAGGUUCUUAUCGUUGGAAAUGCCUCAUAGANCAAACUUGUGGUUUCGCUUUACUCACGGAACACUGUUUUGUUUGGUGAGAUAAAACCGCAAGACAGUG